CCGGCGUUGAGCCAAUUGCCAUCGUCCGAUGCUUCACGCACUCCCCACGGCCCCCGCCCGCCCGCGUCCGUCCCCGGUAAUCCCGCGCCCUUUUCCCAUUCAUCGCGAGCCCAUCGCGCUGCCGCCCGCUCCGUCCACGGCUUCCACCAUCGCCGCGCCUUCCUGUACGCCGCCGCCGCUCCAUCCCCGGUUGCUGCGACGUCCGCUGCGUCGCCCCCGGCGUCACCGAUCCGCGCUGCCUCCUCCGCCACUACACCACGAUCUGCUCCGCCCCAAAUGCUCCGGCCCGAUCUGCUCCGCCCAAACCCAUCCGGUCGCCAACAACUCCAAGAGUGCCGCGAGGUCGUCCUCCCUGCCUCCGCAUCCCUAAGCCCUCUCCCACGAGCGGAUCCCGACGCCCACGCCGCCCUCGCUGCGGUCCGGGGACCCGCCGCCGCAGGUGCAGGAGGCCGCCGCUAGGGUGCGAGUGCAGGGGGCUGCUGCCGCCGCCGGUCCAGGGGCCGACCCAACGCCGCAGCAGGACCACACAGCUACAAGAUCAAAUCUUAAAAAUUGACGCUGACCCCAACGUCAUGAAGGUCCAGGGCGCACGGAGGUGGUGACAGCGGGCCACGUGCUCCUUGAGAAGUUCAGGCACACCGUCCACUUCCUGAUGAUCACCAUGUACUCCUACCUCAGUGAUCAUCUUUCUACACGCAGGGUGUUCGAUGGAAUUCCCCACCGGGAUGUCUUCUAAUGGAACUCUAUGAUGAAGGCAUACGAGCAGGCAAGGAUGAUGGCUGAGGUGGAAGGGUUGUUCCGGCCGGUUGAUGGUUUCAGAGGGUGGCAGUGGCAGUUGUGCUCACAUUGUGCAGGGAUGCCAGCAAUAUGGUUCUAGGGGUGUUCUCUCUUUUCCUCCUCCAAUUGACAGCUCAGAAAAUCAUUCCAAGUGUUACUUCGAUCGAUAUUGAGAUUUCAAGAGGAUAAAAAGACUGAAGUUUUGGCUCCUAGAUUGUGCACUUAUUGAAAGGUCAGAUUUGGAUAUCACUUCUGAAUUUGGAUUUUAUCACUUCACUUCUGAAUUUCAAUUUAAAUGGCUGAUCUCAUGUGGUCGGUGGAGAUGGAAAUCAUUUAUACUCCAAAUCUAUUGGACACUACGCCUUAGUGAUUGAAGCCUCUAGGUAAAUUCUAUUGCCUGAUCAAAUAUGCUUUGCUCGCUGCUGCAGUUUGAUGGAUGAUGGCUUGAUUCUGAUGUAAUCCUGGUAAUUGGUGCAUGAUGUCUUGAUUUUAAUGUGAUGCCUGAUUCAAUCGCAGCAACCAUCAGUGCCAAGCACAGAUGAAAUAUGUGGAGUUAAAUUCCAUUUUAGUGUGCAACUACUUGUGAUGAUUUUUCUGUUGUGCCAAGAGAUUAUAUUGCAUAGAUACUUAGGGAGAUCAGAAUUAUAGUUUCAGCCAAGUCCAGAGCACAAUCAGCUGUCUGUUUGGUGGAUGUGAACCACAGUUCCGUAAAACCAUAUGCUGACCACUUGGCCAAAUAAUUUAGGUUGAUUCAGUUUCGUGAGUUGAAAGAGGGUGUCAAGCUGCAAUAUGAUGAAUAGGGUCUAUGGCAUGUGAUCUCUUGUGAGUUUUGCUGAAGGUGCUACCUUUUCAUCUGAAGUGCCUCGCAAAUUGUAAUGUAAUCGUAUCCUGCUUUUCUGUAUUUCUCUUCAAGAUUUCCUAUUUGGUUAUCUUCAGAAUGGGCGGCUCAAUCUGAAUUGACUCUAAAGCUCAAGCAUCAGAAGCAAGUUUGUACGCCUUCAUUCAUGGUGAAGAUUGCUGCUUGAUGUUUGAAAGUUUGCAAUCGCCGGAGCUCAGUACCGGUGCAGCACGCUGGAAACAAAACUGGAAGUAGCAAUAGCCACAUAGCAUCCAUCUUGAUCAGACUGGCUCAUAUACUAUCUUGUACAAAGUCCAUUUUGAUACAAAUCUUUGCUAGAGUUCUUUUUAUCCUUUGGGAUUAGGCGAACCGAUUAAUCUUCAUUAUUUUUUUAACUUCAACUUGGCCCUAUUUUAACUCCGGAGAAUUUUGAUGCGAAGUUGUAGAGCUGUUUAUGUGUGUGGUUGUAAAAGUUUUCAAAAUAUUGUUAUUUUCUGUAUUUGAUGCCCAUUGCAAUACAAAAUAUGUUGUUAAUAUAA